rnacentral:rRNA from 1 species
CCGCAAGGAAGUAAGAUCCCUGAAAGAUGAUCAGGUUGAUAGGUCUGAGGUGGAAGUGUGGCGACACAUGGAGCUGACAGAUACUAAUCGAUCGAGGACUUAACCACAUUU